rnacentral:rRNA from 1 species
GACGAACGCUGGCGGCGUGCUUAACACAUGCAAGUCGAACGGAAAGGCCCUGCUUUUGUGGGGUGCUCGAGUGGCGAACGGGUGAGUAACACGUGAGUAACCUGCCCUUGACUUUGGGAUAACUUCAGGAAACUGGGGCUAAUACCGGAUAGGAGCUCCUGCUGCAUGGUGGGGGUUGGAAAGUUUCGGCGGUUGGGGAUGGACUCGCGGCUUAUCAGCUUGUUGGUGGGGUAGUGGCUUACCAAGGCUUUGACGGGUAGCCGGCCUGAGAGGGUGACCGGCCACAUUGGGACUGAGGUACGGCGCAGAAUCCUACGGGAGGCAGCAGUGGGGAAUAUUGCACAAUGGGCGGAAGCCUGAUGCAGCAACGCCGCGUGCGGGAUGACGGCCUUCGGGUUGUAAACCGCUUUCGCCUGUGACGAAGCGUGAGUGACGGUAAUGGGUAAAGAAGCACCGGCUAACUACGUG